GCUCCUCCUUCUGCUGUACUGAUGUUGGGAGCUGAGGAUAUGCGUGGAUUCAAAUUUCUUACAAUUUCAGUUGCACCACGACCGACUGUUUCAGGCAGACCUCCACCUGCAGUUUCCAUGGCAGUUGGGCAAUUCUUUAAUCCUGAUGCAGGGAGGGUGAAAAUCUCACCUUGGUCGAUGCUUCUUUCCAAGUACUACAGUGAUGACAUUUUUCUGAUGGAGGAUCAUUCUCUGGUGUUGAAUUUAUCAUUCCCCAUUAGCUUGG
rnacentral:misc_RNA from 1 species